CUCUGUGUAGCCCUAGCUGUCCUUGAACUCAGGAAGUUACCUGCCUCUGCCUCCCAAGUGCUGGGAUUAAAGGCCUGUGCCACCACUGCCCAGCUCCCAUCAUUCUUUAAAGGAACCAUGAUGGAAAAGGGAGAUUGCCCAUUUGGCCAUCAUGAGGACCUGCAUUCAGAUCCUCCAGCACCUUCAUAAAAUCAGACAAAAGUAAACCCAGCACUGCGGAGGUAGAGCUGUGCAGGUCCCUGGAGCCCGUUGAUCAGCUAAUCUAGUAAAAUUGAUCAACUACAAGUUCAGUGAGAGGUCUCGUCUCAAAGGCUGGAGAAGGGCCAGGGCUUUAGCUCAGCGGUAGAACACUUGCCUAGCAAGUGCUAGGCCCUGGGUUUGGUCCUCAGCUCAAAAGCAAAACAUGUGCACACAAAUAGGAUUUCAUUUCUGUGAGUUUGACUGUGUAGCUCUGUCCUGGAACUCACUGUUUAGACCAGGCUGGCCUCGAACUCAGAAGAUCCACCUGCCUCUACUCACCUGGUGCUGGAAGUAAAGGUGUAUGCCUCUCUGCCUGGCUAGGAAAGAAAAGUCUUAAAGCCAAGCAUGGUGGUAGCAUGAUAGAAACCCUAGCACUGAAGAGGCAGAGAGAGAAGGAUCAGGAGUUCAAGGACAGUCUGAGCUAUGUGAAACCUUGUCUCCAAAAUCACUCUGCAGGAUGUGGACUGAGUGUGAAUGUCUCUGGACGUUAGCGAUCUCACACUCUGUGCCCCAGUUUAAUUUCUGUUGCUGAGGUGAAGUAACAGGUAUUCAUCUUACAAUUCCAGGGAAUCAGGCAGAAUUUGAAGCGGCCACAUCAAAUCUACAGUCAAGAGCAGAGAAAAGUGUGUACACAUUUGCUUGGGUAACUGUGGGGAGUUGCAGGCUGGUAUCCAGUCAAGCUGAGGUCUGAACCCCAACAGUUGUAAUUCACCUUCAUGACACGACUCUCUGAGACCAGACUCCCGACCGACUGGCUCCUCCCACCUCCACACCUCCAGCCUGGUAUCAAGGCUGCUUUACAAUCAUCCUAUUCAGAGACACACAAUAAACAUUUGUAUGGUAAAGGAAACUGAUGCUGACUUCUGC
rnacentral:lncRNA from 1 species